AAGAUGAGCAAAGGAACCGCCACGAAACUGUUUGGAUAAGAGUUAGGGAGUCAAUCAUUGUGUGUGUUUUUGUCAUUAACCGACUAUGUACAGGUGUGCAUUUUGUACUUUUGACUUUGCCCACUCACUUCACUACCAUUGCAUAUUGGCUUAUUGGCUGGAUCACCAUAUCAUCAUGGUCAUGAUGAUGACGAGCAAAAAUCAUGGCGGAGGAGACCUCUUCUGCCAACUUGAAGGUGGAAGGAGCAGAGGGAAAGAAGACAGGAGACAGACGAACGGUGGGGAACCACCCCCCAAAGGCCCCACGACAUCCAACUCUUGCAGUGACAAAUGCUCUUUGCGUGAUAGGUUCAAGCGCUGCUUAUUGGAAUCAAAGAGAUGGGAUGUAAUUUCAGACUGGGAUAUUUCGCAGCAGCAGCAUUACAAAUGUACGUCAUCUUGUCCAACAUCCUCAAACAAUCUCAAUACAAGUGAAUACACAAUCUUGAAUAACUUCUUCCAUUACGAGUGCAUGUAUUUAUUUGACCUACUCAAACAUUUUACUGGUAUUGAUUCUCUCCUUGUAAACAUGACGCAAAUUUAAAAUAUCAGUGUCAUUAUAUCCUUACAUUCCCUCC